CCGCGACGGACGCAAGAUGGCGACGGCGACCAUAGCUCUCCAGGUCAAUGGCCAGCAAGGAGGGGGGUCCGAGCCGGCGGCGGCGGCAGUGGUGGCAGCGGGAGACAAAUGGAAACCUCCACAGGGCACAGACUCCAUCAAGAUGGAGAACGGGCAGAGCACAGCCGCCAAGCUGGGGCUGCCGCCCCUGACGCCCGAGCAGCAGGAGGCCCUUCAGAAGGCCAAGAAGUACGCCAUGGAGCAGAGCAUCAAGAGCGUGCUGGUGAAGCAGACCAUCGCGCACCAGCAGCAGCAGCUCACCAAUCUGCAGAUGGCAGCAGUGACAAUGGGCUUUGGAGAUCCUCUCUCACCUUUGCAAUCGGUCAAUAGAAAUGCUCACUUCUUCCGGGGCUCAUGUCCUUAGUCAGGGCUAGAGGGGGGCAGUGCAGCCCACGUGCUGGGGACCUUGCUCCCCUGGCCGGCCCUGCCCGCCAGCUCUGGACGAGCGCAGCAGAGCGCCAGGCGUGGUGGGGCCAGUGGUGUGGGCACCCACCCGGGACCGCCCCUGGGGAGGCCUCCAUCUGCUCUGAGGGCCCACCUUAAAACUAAUCGGCCAGGUAAC
rnacentral:sRNA from 1 species